rnacentral:rRNA from 1 species
UGGGGAAUAUUGCACAAUGGGCGCAAGCCUGAUGCAGCGACGCCGCGUGAGGGAUGACGGCCUUCGGGUUGUAAACCUCUUUCAGCAGGGACGAAGCGCGAGUGACGGUACCUGCAGAAGAAGCACCGGCCAACUACGUGCCGGCAGCCGCGGUAAUACGUAGGGUGCGAGCGUUGUCCGGAAUUACUGGGCGUAAAGAGCUCGUAGGCGGUUUGUCGCGUCGUCUGUGAAAUUCCGCAGCUUAACUGCAGGCGUGCAGGCGAUACGGGCAGACUUGAGUACUACAGGGGAGACUGGAAUUCCUGGUGUAGCGGUGAAAUGCGCAGAUAUCAGGAGGAACACCGGUGGCGAAGGCGGGUCUCUGGGUAGUAACUGACGCUGAGGAGCGAAAGCGUGGGUAGCGAACAGGAUUAGAUACCCUGGUAGUCCACGCCGUAAACGGUGGGUACUAGGUGUGGGUUCCAUUUCACGGGAUCCGUGCCGUAGCUAACGCAUUAAGUACCCGCCUGGGGAGUACGGCCGCAAGGCUAAAACUUAAAGGAAUUGACGGGGUCAUAGCUGUUUCC